CAAACCAGAGGAAGACCAGUCCCUCAGCAAACCAGAGGAAGACCAGUCCCUCAGCGAAGCAGAGGAAAACCAGUCCCUCAGCAAACCAGAGGAAGACCAGUCCCUCAGCGAAGCAGAGGAAGACCAGUCCCUCAACGAAGCAGAGGAAGACCAGUCCCUCAACGAAGCAGAGGAAGACCAGUCCCUCAGUGAAUCAGAGGAAGACCAGUCCCUCAACGAAGCAGAGGAAGACCAGUCCGAAGAGAUAUAUAUGAGAAGGACUGCUGUAAGAAAUCUUGUCAGAGCAGUUAUCCAACAGAUUGUUGACAAGACAGAAAACAGCCAUUACCCUUUAAUUCAAUAUAAUUAUAUCUGUGAUCGACUCUUUAAGAAACUCUGGGUUGAAACAAAACCCAGAGUUCUGAAAAUGAGCCCAGAAAAGAUUGCACUCCAGGAGACCACCAUCUUUAAAGACCUGAUGAAGGAGUGCAAAAACGUAGAGUACAUCCUUCUUGUCCUGGAGGCGGGGACCCCAAUACUACAACGAAAUGUCCUGGUAACGAUGGCAAACAGACUACAGCCGCAGUGGAACCCCUUUAAGUCAGUGAGAAAGGCUUUCAGGGAAGUGGUACAAAACCUGCGAGAAAACCUACACAGGCUUAUCAUUUGUAAAUGAGUUACAGCCAAAUGUAAAGCCUGAAACUCAGGAAAAGGACUCAUCCCAGAUGUUUCUCCCAGUUCUCCCAGUUCCCAUCUCCUCUCCCUGCAUGAACAUCAUGGCGUAAACGUUUCCACCUGAGACUCUUUCCAGGUUCCAAGGUGAAGCCAAGGAGUGGCGCAUGCUGUGACUUUCUGCGGCUGCAGCUUAUCCUCUUCACCGUUUUAUUUGUUGGCCGUUCUGAGUUAGCACUUUACA